UACGGAGGAUCCGAGCGUUACCCGGAUUUAUUGGGUUUAAAGGGAGCGUAGGUGGAUUGUUAAGUCAGUUGUGAAAGUUUGCGGCUCAACCGUAAAAUUGCAGUUGAAACUGGCAGUCUUGAGUACAGUAGAGGUGGGCGGAAUUCGUGGUGUAGCGGUGAAAUGCUUAGAUAUCACGAAGAACUCCGAUUGCGAAGGCAGCUCACUAGACUGCAACUGACACUGAUGCUCGAAAGUGUGGGUAUCAAACAGG
rnacentral:rRNA from 1 species